rnacentral:rRNA from 1 species
CCCCUUGAUGUUCUGGGCCGCACGCGCGCUACACUGAACAGUUCAACAAGUCUUAACCUUGGCCGAUAGGUCUGGGUAAUCUUUGAACGCUGUUCGUGAUUGGGAUAGACCUUUGCAAUUAUGGGUCUUCAACGAGGAAUUCCUAGUAAACGCAAGUCAUCAGCUUGCAUUGAUUACGUCCCUGCCCUUUGUACACACCGCCCGUCGCACCUACCGAUUGAAUGGUCCGGUGAAAUCUCGGGACGGCGGCUUGGUCGCUUGCGUCCGACUGCUGAAACUUGAUUAAACCAUAUCAUUUAGAGGAAGGUGAAGUCGUAACA